rnacentral:rRNA from 1 species
CCAUUUGAUUAUAGUGGCGAACGGGUAGAGUAACGCGUUGGUGAUCUGCCUCGAAGUGUGGAAUAACGUUCCGAAAGGGACGCUAAUACCGCAUGUGCUCAAGGUUUUUUAGAAAGCUUUGAGUAAAGGAUUUAUUCGCUUCGAGAGGAGCCUGCGUCCCAUCAGCUAGUUGGUAAGGUAACGGCUUACCAAGGCUAUGACGGGUAGGGGACCUGAGAGGGUGGCCCCCCACAAUGGAACUGAAACACGGUCCAUACACCUACGGGUGGCAGCAGUAGGGAAUAUUAGAAAUGGGCGAAAAAGCCUGAUCUAGCGACACCGCGUGUGCGAUGAAGGCCUUCGGGUUGUAAAGCACUUUUUGGAAGGAAUAGGAAGGAAGGUACUUCCAGAAUAAGUCUCGGCUAACUACGUGCCAGCCGCCGC